GGCCGGAUAGCAAAGUGGUAAUGCCGAAGCCUGCAAAGCUUUUAUGCGUCAGUUCGAUUCUGUCUCCGGCUUCCA
rnacentral:tRNA from 1 species